AUGCAGUGCCAGGCUCGUGGUAUUCUGCAGCAGAUGUGGGGAGGUUUCCUUCUUUAUGUUUCCAUGAAGAUGGGAAGCACUGCAGGACAAAACAUUGGCCAGCCCACGGAGGUGACAGCUAUGGAGGGAGCCAUUGUCCAGAUCAAUUGCACAUACCAGACAACUGGGUUCAACGGGCUGUCCUGGUACCAGCAACGUGACGGCAAAGCACCCACGUUUCUUUCUUACAAUGUUCUGAAUGGUUUGGAGGAGAGAGGUCAUUUUUCUUCAUUCCUUAAUCGCUCUAAAGGAUACAGUUACCUCCUUGUGAAGAAGCUCCAGAUGAAAGACUCUGCCUCUUACCUCUGUGCUGUGAGGGACACGGUGACUAUGAGGGCUCUUUUAGCUGCACCAAAAUUCAUAUUUCCUGUGUGCCUGCUCCUGCUGUCAGCUGGGUUUAGGGAGUACAUGAUUGUUGUGCGGCUGCCUCCAUGUGAGAAAAAGUUGACCAGAGAGCAGAAGCUCAGAUGGCUCCCUCAUUCAGCAUUUCUGGUGGUCUCAGUUUCUUGCUCUUUGGUGACUCAGACCUUCAUCCCUGAACGGCCUAAGUCCCUGGUUACUGUACCUUUUUCAGACCUUGGUUGA